AGCUUUACGCAAUUCUUCAACGUGUCAAUAACAGCCACAAUGAUUUUAUUAGUCCAGCUGCAGAAAUUUUAGGAUAUCUUUUUCUUCUUCCGAUUUACAUCUUCUUGGGAAAACGUUACGGUUUAUUGUUUCUCUUCGGAUCAAUGUCUGUCAAGUCUUUAGUUGCACUUUGCAUACCCGCAUCCGAAGAAAUUUAUUUUGGCAUAUUUGAUAUUGUGCUUGGAACAGCAGCAAUGUAUAUAAAUUGGCUUUAUGUUUUGGAGAUCUUUCCAACGUUUCUAAGGGCUACCACAUUAGGAUGUGCUUACUGGAUUUCUGGCUUAGUUACCGCUGUCAGC